AAUCAACGCCGGCGGCGCGCCUAACACAUGCAAGUCGAACGAGAAAGUGGAGCAAUCCAUGAGUAAAGUGGCGUACGGGUGAGUAACACGUGGAUCAUCUGCCCUUUUGUGGGGAAUACCGAUGGGAAACCGUCGACAAUACCGCAUAAGCCCGAGAGGGGAAAGCAGCAAUGCGCAGAAGGAGGAGUCCGCGGUCGAUUAGCUAGUUGGUAGGGUAAUGGCCUACCAAGGCUGUGAUCGAUAGCCGGCCUGAGAGGGCACACGGCCACACUGGCACUGAAACACGGGCCAGACUCCUACGGGAGGCAGCAGUGGGGAAUCUUGCACAAUGGGGGAAACCCUGAUGCAGCGACGCCGCGUGAGCGAUGAAGCCCUUCGGGGUGUAAAGCUCUUUCGGCAGGGAAGAUUAUGACGGUACCUGCAGAAGCAGCUGCGGCUAACUACGUGCCAGCAGCCGCGGUAAUACGUAGGCAGCAAGCGUUGUUCGGAAUUACUGGGCGUAAAGGGUGCGUAGGCGGUCCUGUAAGUAUGGUGUGAAAUCUCCCGGCUUAACUGGGAGGGUGCGCUAUAGACUGCGGGACUCGAGUGUGGGAGAGGAAAGUGGAAUUCCUGGUGUAGCGGUGAAAUGCGUAGAUAUCAG
rnacentral:rRNA from 1 species